rnacentral:rRNA from 1 species
AGAAGCUUGCUUCUCUGAUGUUAGCGGCGGACGGGUGAGCAACACGUGGAUAACCUACCUAUAAGACUGGGAUAACUUCGGGAAACCGGAGCUAAUACCGGAUAAUAUUUUGAACCGCAUGGUUCAAAAGUGAAAGACGGUCUUGCUGUCACUUAUAGAUGGAUCCGCGCUGCAUUAGCUAGUUGGUAAGGUAACGGCUUACCAAGGCAACGAUGCAUAGCCGACCUGAGAGGGUGAUCGGCCACACUGGAACUGAGACACGGUCCAGACUCCUACGGGAGGCAGCAGUAGGGAAUCUUCCGCAAUGGGCGAAAGCCUGACGGAGCAACGCCGCGUGAGUGAUGAAGGUCUUCGGAUCGUAAAACUCUGUUAUUAGGGAAGAACAUAUGUGUAAGUAACUGUGCACAUCUUGACGGUACCUAAUCAGAAAGCCACGGCUAACUACGUGCCAGCAGCCGCGGUAAUACGUAGGUGGCAAGCGUUAUCCGGAAUUAUUGGGCGUAAAGCGCGCGUAGGCGGUUUUUUAAGUCUGAUGUGAAAGCCCACGGCUCAACCGUGGAGGGUCAUUGGAAACUGGAAAACUUGAGUGCAGAAGAGGAAAGUGGAAUUCCAUGUGUAGCGGUGAAAUGCGCAGAGAUAUGGAGGAACACCAGUGGCGAAGGCGACUUUCCGGUCUGUAACUGACGCUGAUGUGCGAAAGCGUGGGGAUCAAACAGGAUUAGAUACCCUGGUAGUCCACGCCGUAAACGAUGAGUGCUAAGUGUUAGGGGGUUUCCGCCCCUUAGUGCUGCAGCUAACGCAUUAAGCACUCCGCCUGGGGA